rnacentral:rRNA from 1 species
AGUGAACGCUGGCGGUAGGCCUAACACAUGCAAGUCGAACGGCAGCACAGUAAGAGCUUGCUCUUACGGGUGGCGAGUGGCGGACGGGUGAGGAAUACAUCGGAAUCUACUUUUUCGUGGGGGAUAACGUAGGGAAACUUACGCUAAUACCGCAUACGACCUACGGGUGAAAGCAGGGGAUCUUUGUACCUUGCGCGAUUGAAUGAGCCGAUGUCGGAUUAGCUAGUUGGCGGGGUAAAGGCCCACCAAGGCGACGAUCCGUAGCUGGUCUGAGAGGAUGAUCAGCCACACUGGAACUGAGACACGGUCCAGACUCCUACGGGAGGCAGCAGUGGGGAAUAUUGGGCAAUGGGCGCAAGCCUGAUCCAGCCAUACCGCGUGGGUGAAGAAGGCCUUCGGGUUGUAAAACCCUGUUGUUGGGAAAGAAAAGCAGCAGGUUAAUACCCCGCUGUUCUGACGGUACCCAAAGAAUAAGCACCGGCUAACUUCGUG